CUGAAAACUUCCCAGCAACUCUAAUAGGCCAGUUCUUUUUCACACCAUUUCCAGAUUCUUCCCUGUACAAAUAUGGAGAUUUUUCUAGUGGUUGCUUAUAAGUGAGUUAUGGGAAAAGAGUAAAAUCAGAGCCAGGCAAAUAAGCUGGAGACAAAUGACAUAAGGAAAAUUAUUACCAUAAAUGGGAUAUUCAUAAAAUAUAAAAACUCACUUUUUCUCCAUCUAUCUGAGCUACUGAAUCUUUUCAGAUUCCCUUUGUAUGACUUUGUGAUGACCCCUCUCUUUCAUCAAGAAAACUCAAUGUUAUUUCCAACCAUGAUUUUGUUGGUGCCGACAAGACAAGACCAGGACAAAGAUCAACUCGACCAGGAUCUGAGCAAGAUCACAGGCACUGCCACCCCCUAGCCUCUCGCCUCUGCUCUUUCCUGGUAGAACCACAGUGCUCCUGUUGAGGCCCUGAAGACAGUACUCUGACCUGUCUUCCCAGUGCAACCACCCUGAGAAUAUAUUCCUCAAUCGCU